GUGCCAGCAGUCGCGAAAACUCCGCAAUACGCGGAAGCGUGACGGGGCCAUCCCGAGUGCCGUCCGCUGAGGAUGGCUUUUCCCCAGUGUUGAUAGCUGGGGGACUAAGGAGAGGGCAAGUCUGGUGUCAGCCGCCGCGGUAAUACCAGCUCUCCGAGUGAUGGGGACGUUUAUUGGGCUUAAAGCAUCCGUAGCUGGCUGGGCAAGUCCCCUGUUAAAUCUAACGAUUCAAUCGUUGGAUUGCGGGGGAUACUGCUCGGCUAGGGGGCUGGAGAGGCCGACGGUAUUCCCGGGGUAGGGGUGAAAGCCUAUAAUCCCGGGAGGACCACCAGUGGCGAAAGCUGUCGGCUAGAACGCGCCCGACGGUGAGGGAUGAAAGCUGGGGGAGCGAACCGGAUUAGAUACCCGUGUAGUCC
rnacentral:rRNA from 1 species